rnacentral:lncRNA from 1 species
CCAUUUUUAUGUUAUAUAUGUGGAUGAGCUUUCUGGAAGCAACUAACUGACCUAGGAACUCAAACUCCUAAAUUAGGCUUUUUUUUUUUUUUCAGUUUUCUUACCUAAUACAGACCGAGCCCAAACUUCAAAUAUCGACACCCUCAAACACUAGUAGCAAGUGCCAAACAUUGUUUUCAAAUACAGUUGGCUUGGAAAUGAGUACUUGAAGCUGCAAGCUUGUCAGCAAACUACCAUGUUUCCAGAGUUGACUUUUGACGUACAAGCUGUUCUCACAGAGAGAUGGCUGAUGUAUUGAGCUCAACACAGAGAGUGAGGGUCCUUGUGAGGUUAAACCACCCUUUCCCCUUGAAACAGCACAUAUUAAGAAUGCAAAGGAGCACAGAUAUGAAAGCAAAACAUCAUCAAGGAGAACAGAAUAUCAGAUGCUCUCAUCUUACUCCUUUUCACUGAGAAGCAUUUCUUCUUCCUCAAUAAAUCUCCAUCAUUACUUUUUUUAAAGCUUCA